CGUGUGCUUACAAGUAGUCAGAGCCCGUUAAUGGGUGAUGGCGUGCCUUUUGUAGAAUGAACCGGCGAGUUACGAUUUGAUGCAAGGUUAAGCAGUAAAUGUGGAGCCGUAGCGAAAGCGAGUCUGAAUAGGGCGUUUAGUAUUUGGUCGUAGACCCGAAACCAGGUGAUCUACCCUUGGUCAGGUUGAAGUUCAGGUAACACUGAAUGGAGGACCGAACCGACUUACGUUGAAAAGUGAGCGGAUGAACUGAGGGUAGCGGAGAAAUUCCAAUCGAACCUGGAGAUAGCUGGUUCUCUCCGAAAUAGCUUUAGGGCUAGCCUCAAGUGAUGAUUAUUGGAGGUAGAGCACUGUUUGGACGAGGGGCCCCUCUCGGGUUACCGAAUUCAGACAAACUCCGAAUGCCAAUUAAUUUAACUUGGGAGUCAGAACAUGGGUGAUAAGGUCCGUGUUCGAAAGGGAAACAGCCCAGACCACCAGCUAAGGUCCCAAAAUAUAUGUUAAGUGGAAAAGGAUGUGGCGUUGCCCAGACAACUAGGAUGUUGGCUUAGAAGCAGCCAUCAUUUAAAGAGUGCGUAAUAGCUCACUAGUCGAGUGACACUGCGCCGAAAAUGUACCGGGGCUAAACAUAUUACCGAAGCUGUGGAUUGUCCUUU
rnacentral:rRNA from 1 species